CUGUCGUUUUUCCACUUUGCCUGACAUCUUUGAUGUAUAUCGGGUCGUUUAUUCUCAAAAUUCUAUCAGUUUGGAACUCGUGGACCGAACAUGGGGACCGCCAGAUAGAUAUAUCAUUUCAUGGUAUAAAGAGUUGUCUUCAAGACAAAACCUCAUUAACCGGAUGGUUUCAGCGGUUUACAAUAUUUCAGUUUGGAGAAUGUAUAUUGUGGCUCCUCUUACGGAAGAGUUAGUAUUUAGAGCGUGUAUGAUAUCUUUGCUUCUAUGUGGAGGAUUGAGACCAUAUACACUCAUUUGAAACAUUCAUUGGAGUUCUACAUGCAACAAAAUUCCAGCUUGCUGAAAGCUUCCAUGGUUGUAGGUUUUCAGCUUGGGUACACUGUGAUAUUUGGGUCAUAUGCAUCAUUUCUCUUUGUUCGCACUGGUUGGUCAUGAUUCUCUUAUUUUUCUUUAUCUUAUUCUGAAGUUUUUCCUUAUAGGCAAAGCAUUUUUAUUUGUCUCAUCAUGGUUUAAAAAACGGGCGAGGCACGCCUCAAGGCGAACCACCAAUUCCGUCAACAAUGGAGUCAGUCAUACCCCGGCGCCGGUGUUCUGGCACCACUAGCAAUCGUGGCGUGCAUUGCCAUGAUCAUCAAGGCGAGGUACGCCUUGAGGCGCGCCUCAUAGGGCUGAGGCUCUAAGCAUAGUUGUCAAUAGCGAAUGACAGUCAAUAGCGACAGGCUACAUAUAUGCUACGUAGCGAUAGCGACAAAAUAGCGCCCGCUUUUUCAUGUUUUGCAAUAAUGCAGAGAAACAAAAAAAAUACAUGUUAUCGAGCAAUGGAGAUGAGGAAAAUAUAGAAAAAUACAUGUUAUAAGACGAAACCUGAGGUUUCGAGCAGUGGAGAUGAGAAAGAAAAUCUAAAAUACAUGUUAUAUAGCGGC